rnacentral:rRNA from 1 species
GAUGAACGCUGGCGGCGUGCCUAAUACAUGCAAGUCGAGCGAACAGACGAGUAGCUUGCUCCUCUGACGUUAGCGGCGGACGUAUCAGUAACACGAGGAUCACCUCACUAUAAGACUGCGAUAACUUCGGGAAACCGGAACUCAUUCCGAAUAAUCUAUUCAACCGCAUGGUUCAAUAAUUAAAUACGGUUUUGCUGUCACUUAUACAUAUAUCCUCGCCGCAUUAGCUAGUUCGUAGGGUAACGGCUUACCAAGGCAACGAUGCGUAGCCGACCUGAGAGGGUGAUAGGCCACACUGGAACGUAGACACGGACCAGACUCCUAAGGGAGGGAGCAGUAGGGAAUCGGACGCAAUGGGCGAAAGCAUGACGGAGCAAGGCGGAGUGAGUGCUGGAGGUGUUGGGAGCGUAAAACCGUGUUAUGAGGGAAGAACAAAUGUGUACGUAACUAUGCACGUAUUGACGGUACCUAAUCAGAAAGCAACGGCUAACUACGUG